GAUGAAAGAGUCUAUAAAUGCCUGGAAGAAAUAAAAUACAGGCAUGAGAGGAUUGGGAAUUCAAUAGGGGGUGUAGUCUUACAGCUUAUUCAUACUGCUGGCAAAUUGUAUCAACUGCUUUCAACUAGUUACAGGUUUGUGCCUGUAAAUAUUUUAUAUUUAUUUCAUUAUGAAAUUUUGCAGCAUUUUUAAAACUGUAAGUAUGCACCUUUCAGACAUCCACAUCAAAAUCAUAGAAGAGAGGCUGGUGGUGUUCUCUGGGCCAUACCAGUCAAUAGACAAGCUCAGAUACAGACUCCAGGAGCUGAAGGGAACUGUCAGAGCACAAGCCCUAGGCAUACUUUUGCUGCCUGUGCACGGUAAAUGGGAUUACACUUUUCCUGACAAGUACAUCACUUUGUGAUCGACACAGCUUGAGAUCUAUGAAAAUGUGGUGACUGAGGAGGAUUAUUGAAAGGUUUGAGCAGCUUUGAAUGGUGGAUGAUGAGAAAACAAAGCCAAGCAGCCCAACCAUACCCAUCCUGAUAGUGCAAGCACGGCACAAUGAGGCAGAGAAAAGGGACAUGCACAGGUCCCUUUUGUGUGAUGUCUGAGUGGCACUAGAGAGCUUCCAGCAGUGCAUCCAGCUGUCAGGCAUGGCUCCAUCCCUGGGAGAGAACAGCCUCAAUUCUGUCGCUUUCUUUCAUUAAAAAGCAAAUCUUGUAAGAUUUUUUUUUUUUGCAAGGACAGAGGGAAUCUUCCUGUGUAAAAUACCUUGAAAGACUAGUGCUCUACUUGGCUUUCUCUAACUUAUAAAGAGAAACAGUCCAGUAUGUUGUCAACAAUCUCUUAAAAAUCAUGUUUUAUAGGCAGUUCUCUUCUCGUUAAAGGGCUUUGAAACUGCAUGGUUCAUUCAGUUUGGUUUGAAGUCUAACAUGUUAGAUAUCAAAACUUCGUGGAAGCUGCUUAUGAGCACAGACAUAGCAGUGACAUUUUCCCUACCGUUCCUAUAGGCAGGCACCAUCUCCCUUAGCUUGAGAGAGAUUUGAGCAAUACUAUCCCCUCCCAUGCAUUCAAUUCAUUCUAGAAGAGCAGAAACAGAGAGGGGAGAAGGAAGCUGAUGAGCUCAGAAGUGAGGAAACAGCAGCAUGGAUUUAAGUCCCAGACAUGAAGUAGAAAACAAGUUUAAGAUACCUCUUCCAGAAAUAGAAAAUAGAAAUCCUUCUAGAAAGUUUCUUUUUCUGGAGAUACUAUGACUAAAGAAAAUUGUUUUCAAAUCAACAUAUUAAAUGAAAGAAAAAUGCAAGUGGUACAACAAUAUAGAAAAUACCAGACAAAAAAGAACCUUGAUGCUGAAAGUCUUGUGUAUGAAUGAAGAAAUGAAGAAAUAUGAAAAAAUACUCAGAGGUGUUGUUGGUUCUAAAUCUUGCCUAAGCUUCAAAAAUAAAAUUGUGAGGAAGAAGCAGCCUCUUACACAAGCAACAACAUGGGCAAGAGACACUGACAGGGAACGCUGCUCUAGGGCAGAGUCUUUCUUUAGUUAUCAGUAAUACACAUUUACAUUUUAAAAAAUGCCCAGAGUGUACUUUGUCAUCCUAAAGGUCAAGUAUUUCCACCCUGUUGGUUACUGGUACCUGUCAGGUCUUAGUCUUUGGCAAGUUCUCAACAUAGAAGUGGAAAGUUUCUUUUGUUAGCCUGUGGUCUCCAAUAAUUCAGUUUGAGUUUUUCUUUUUCUUUGGUAUUUCUUUUUUUUGCCUUGUCAAACUAAAGGACUUCACUUUGGGUCUUAACACUUGUUAAGCCUAAAAUGUAUUAAGCAAUCUAAGAUCUGCUGACAAGUCCUCAGAAGUCUCUGUUAGCACUGCUACAUCAUGUUAGCAUUUUCCUUGUAUAUUUUCCAGGAUCAGGAAAACAGUCUUUGUACAACCCCUCAUGUAGUAGAGUCACUGCCAAUGACUUGAGCUUGGAGGUAACAUAAGAGAGCUGCAAGAGAAAGUAGAUCCGAGUCUCCCUGUAUAUUCUUGCACAUGCAAACGCUGGUAUUAUCCUUCCCUUCUCUCCUGUUUGCUCUCCCACAUGCAGAUAGGACAGGUACAUUGGGAGCUGGCAAAGCCUCCAGAAGGGUAUGAAGAGGGUAGAGGCUGGGGUGUUGGUUAAUCACACUUAAGUCUCCUGUCCCCUCUUUACUGUGUAGACAAAACUCACUGCAAGCACGUGGAUUUUGAUACCAACAGGUGCUGGUGGAAUAAUCUGUGGUUUAUAUCUUAAAUUUUCAUGUGGUACACAAACAUCUUUUUAUAUAGAGCUGAUGACUGAAGAGCAUACUGUCAUUCCUGUCUAUUGACGGGUCUGAUAAGUACUUCAGGAGUAGCAGGUAAAGCUAAAGAUAUUAAAUAAAAGCAAAGGGAAGAACACUCUAUUGCCUUCGUACAAAUCAAGAAUAACUACAUUCUGAUCAAGCUGAAAUAAAGUGUCUCCCUUUAAAAUCCAGUUCAAGGGAGCCUUGAAAUCAUUAAACUAGAUUUGAGUCAACAUCUCCAGUCGUAAACAUUUAAGCUCUAAGGGACAGUUGUUAAAAGCGGGAAGAGGGCAGUGGCAGACAGAGGCUGGUGUCUGAGUUAGAAGGGAAAGUGAUCUGCCAAGAGACAGUAAUGCUGGCAGGAAGGGAGGUGCCUCCUCAGAAAAGGUAAUUAUGACCAGGAUUAAUGACCAGGAUUGCUAAAGGCAAUCCUGUCUGCAGAGCAGCACUUCAGUUAAAGGCCACCACUACAAGAAGGGGUAAUGACCCUGAUCAGGAUGUUGCCUUAUUCCAAAAGCUAUUCCAAAAGGCAGAAUGUUUAUUUCACUACAGCUGUUCCAGUUGUCCCUUGCAAAUAAGGCCAGCCAGGCCAUCUGGGUUCAGGGUCUGGCUUGAAAAAACAAUGAGUCUUACAGAAAAUCUGCUUAUGCUCCCAGGAGAGCGAGAGUGUUGGGGCAGUCAGGUGGGGUUAUAAUUGAAUUGUUUCAGUUUUUCAUGCUAAAAGAAAAUGAAAAAGCUAGUUAUUAAUUUUUGAUGGAUGGAAGGUGUUUGCACAACCAUAAUCAAAACAUUUAGUUUGUAGUGCUGUUGGUUUGUAGUGCUCUUAAGUUUAGGCAGCUGACAGAAAUGUAUUGUUUGUUAAGAAGAAUGAAAAAUGUUAAAAAAUAUAUUGUCUUUUUAAUAUAAAGUUUACAUUUUUCUUUUUGCUACAAGCAUAAUUUCUGCUUCUUACAUCUGCAUAUACAGUUAUACUAAAAUGAAAAAUGAGGAAAAAAUAAAUGUAAUUCAGCGGCUUAAGAAUGUAAUAAUACUUGUACAUUUUUAUUUACAUAUUAAAAUAUUGACAUUUCAAGCCCCUGAAGUGACCCACAAGUCACUUCAGAUAAUGAGAUAGUGAUUAUGUCCAAGUGCCAAAAUUGUUUGCAGGACAGUAUGGGUGUUUGUCAGCUUGCUCUGGCAAAUCAGGCCGUGUCAUCUUCCACUGGCAAAUAAUGAAGGUAAAAGUUAGAGCUGCCAUGGAGUGUUGUCCCAAGACACUGCACAAAUCACAGCAAGACCACCCAAUGUUAGAUCCUGUGCCUUUGGUUUAAUGACAGCAGCAACAGACAAGAUAUCAGGGAUGUGGUGUUCGACCGCAUCACGUCUGCCAUACAUGUUCAUCACAUUCACCUGGGUACUCCCCAAACAUUACUGGAUGUCUGAUUUUCAUUUAAAUAGGUUUGCUAAAGAGUUUGUCACAACUGUUAUCGGGGUUUGUUUCCUGGGAGGUAACAUGUCCUCUCUCCUGGGCUGCCUGUGUUUUGCAAACAUUUAGUCAGAAAGCUGGAAUCACUUCCAUAUUAAUUCUGGUAGGUUACCAGAAGAUAAAGAGAUAACCAGAGCAACCAAAAAGACUUUGGAAAACAGCUUGAAAAAGAUAAAGGAAUGAAAAGUAAAUAUUUUUUCAAGUAUAUCCAAUAGGCUAGCGGAGCGUUUAUAGGUGCAGUAGGUCCUACUGAAAGGAAUACAGAAGGAGCUCUCAAAGCAGAUGCAUUACUUUGGCAGAAAAACAGACUAAAUUUUUGGCAUCAGUGUGCAGAGUUCCACAAGUUUGUGAUGCACAAAUUACUGUCAGCUUGGAGACUCUUUUGGUCACACAUGACCACUUAUCAUCUCCUUUUCAGACUUUUCCAUUAUUCCUCCAGUUCAUAAUGGUCAGAGCUAGGAUACAAGUCUGAACGAGAUGUUUGAUACAGCCAUUCUCUGCUUUUCUGUGGUGCCUUUUUUUAAUUAUAAGAAUUUGCUGUGCCUGUACUGACAGUUCCAUUCAAAUCAAGGCCAGACUUGCUGGCAACUUGUGCAAACAUUUCUUCUCUUUCAGUCUUAUCAGCAGACCAGCUAAAACCUGAAACAGGACCUUCAGUGUCUGAGCCAGAGGAGCUGUUCUAUACCUGGGCUUCUGCCACAAGUAUCCCUUAUGCAGCUGGAAGGCUCCAGCUCAGGAGAGCACACAGGAUAAGCACUCUUCCCAAGGACAGCACUCAAGGCUUAAUGCUGCUGAAGUGGCUCCCAAAUGAAAUACCCUCUGAACACGAGCAGAAGGUGGACUUAUGCCCAAGCAAAUAAGAGCACCAGUUGUUAACGAUGAAACUUGGGGAAGAGUGGCACAGAGUAAGCCUCAACCACAAGCUUUUUCAGUCAAGAAAGGAAACUGCUUACCAUCCAAAUCCAGCUGCUAACAGGAACUAUAUUCCUCCUUCAGUGAGACCACUUGUGUCAGGAAUAACCUUUACAGACACCAUGAACAACCUGAAUAAAAGAACAUGAUCUCAAAGAAUUCAGAAACUGAACAACAGGAUGUUCUGAUGAAAAUACAAGCCUCUAGGAGUGGCUCUGACCCAAGCCUUUUGUGGUCAGUGGAUAAAGAAAACAGUGAUGGAAACUGUGUACAAAGAAGGGAGGUGUGAAGGUAGCAUAGAGCUGACAGCAGUUUUCUACCUGUAUCAGCACCUUUUAAAAUUCAGUGUCUGAAGAUUAUUACUAUGAAAUUAAAAUUAUCGGGGCAGGAAGUUUUUCAAAGAACUGUUGUAUUCAUGUAAAGUGACAGAAGACAUCUGUAUUACAGUCACUUAAGCAACUUUAAACCUUACCAACUUUUGUGAAUUGCAAUUUAUUCUACAACCUUCAUUCACAUGUUCAUCAAAAUAAUGCAAUACCUCCAGCUACUGAACCCUGAUUUGGCCCUUGACUCAGCUGCUGUACUUUUUCCAUAGUAAAACUAGUUUGCUGCCAGAAUUAUGUGGACAGAAAACAUUGCUGUGUUGAUUCCUGGUGGGAAAAGUGAUCCUGCAGAAAUAUACAAAUGCCACCUACUAAAAACGGAACCUUAAAAGAAAACCUCUCUGUAAAACCCACAGCCCCUGAGCGUGAUCACAGAACAUUUUAAAGGACCUUGAGUAUUACCCUCUCUAGGGUAAAAUAAUACAGUUUACUUAUAUUGAUCCUGGGAGAAAAUAUUUUAUAUCUUUAUUUUACACAAAAGACAUGUUAAAGUAAUAAUUAUGGUAUAACAUUUUUAGGCAAGUGUGAAUGGAUAAUUAAUCCCUGCAGUUCUCAGCUACUGGUUCUGUUCGUUCUGCUUUAGAAAUUAUAAACCUGAUGUAAUAUUGGAAAAAUUACUUUGCAAAAGUUUUUUCUGUUGCUGCUGAUAACAUUAUCUCUCACAUGCUUUGAUCAACAGAACACAGCUAAAGGAGCUUAGAAGUCCCUUCCAUACUAUCAGAAACAGGAAUAAAAUCACAAUUAAAGAUUAGUGGCCAGAGAACUUGAACCUGACAGAGGUGUCAGAUAUAAACUGUCUUUGUGCCAGUUUUUUUUGCAUAAUCCUGCCUGUAGCACUGACAUUUUGCUUUUGUGCGACAUUCAGAAAUGCAAUGUUUUAUUCUUCCAGUUGCAUUAAACCAUGACAAUGAGAGAUACAUAGAUUUACAUAGAUUUUUCAACUUGACCAGCAGUCAUUUAGCUGGAGAUGGCAUGGCUUUAAGGCAGAGCUUCCUGACUUAGCCGGCACUGUGAUCACAGAAGGAGAUAGCACUGCACCAUGUCAUUAUCAGCAGUGGCAGUAGCAGCUUCUGGCUGUGUGCACAGCUCCACGUGCACUGUAGGAGAUGAGAUCCUAGCCCUAGCAAGUCCUGUGCUGGCCUUUGUGCACAAGGGAGAAGGAAGAGGUAUUUGGUCAUUGUCUGUCUCCUCUGGGAUUGUUUUAAAAUGCUCCCAUUCCACCCACCUCAACCUGCAGGGUGCCUGUUUUAGGAUUGAAAUGACACACAGAAUUUUAAUGCUUGCCAUCCAUAAAUUUCCAAACAAUGGCCAGCAAAAGCACUAUUGCAUACUUAACAUCUGCUUUUUUGCACAUGAGGAAAAAGAGACAUACAGAAAAAUUAAGGCAAAUGUCCUCAAAAGCAGUAGUGCCUGUGUCCCACUGAAAUCAAUCUAAGCUUGGAGUCUUACAAGUUAUGGACAUCUGUGCUCAGGUGACCUAAACGGAAACUCACCAACUCAUUCUGAGCUCCAUCUCUCUUCAUGAAACCAGACCUGUCCCUCCAGCACACAGAGACUGUUGUUUAUGCAGACACAAUGUAUAGAAAUGUGUGACAGACUUUGAACUUUUUGCAUCUGAAAACUCCUUUGAUGUUCAGAAAUGUUUCCAGUUCAUAGAGGGAGCCACUAGGUUAAUUGCCAACGACAGAGUCUCAUAAGGUUUUGAAAAGCAGACUUUAUUUAACAGGCACAUCAUUGCUUUAAUAGCACUGGGCUGCACAGCUCACUUCACCAUUUGUAAAUGGUUUUGUUUGAUUACAUUGCAUUUCCUCAGUGUCGGUAGGAUUCAAGUAAAAAAGUUACUGCUAUUAUUCUCUGUCAUUUCUCAAGAUGGAAAAAAACAGUAAACGUCUAGCACACAGGAGCAGGGUACAGACAGAACUGCCUGUGACGCAGCAGAACUCAAGACAAACUGAAUUUUGAGCACUGAACAGUUAAAGCUGCAAGACAACCAUACUACAUUUGCUCAGAUGGGAGUUUGCUCUAUGCAGGAUAGAGAUGAAUGCUGCCCACUAAUACAUACAAUAAUGCAUUCUUAUACUGAGAAACAAAGACUGUCCAACAUAGACAAGAAUGAGGGUUUCAUAACAAAACAGUUCACAUGAAAUUAGCUUCCUUAUUAUUUCUGAUUAUAAAAGUUGUAUUCCCUCAGCUGUAAAAGUUAAAGGCCUAAAAGAAAAGAACUGCUUACAGAACUCUAAAACUGCACUUUAAUCAGCUUUUCCUCCUUAUAUUACAACUCUUUGAGACAAAAGCAUAGCAUUCUGGAUUAUUUUUGUAAUUAAGUAGUUUAUGUGGUUGUUAUAUUUCUUCCCUCAAAAUCUGCAUUUUAGUAUUUUAUUAAAUU